rnacentral:rRNA from 1 species
AUUGAACGCUGGCGGCAGGCCUAACACAUGCAAGUCGAGCGGAUGAGUGGAGCUUGCUCCAUGAUUCAGCGGCGGACGGGUGAGUAACGCCUAGGAAUCUGCCUGGUAGUGGGGGACAACGUUUCGAAAGGAACGCUAAUACCGCAUACGUCCUACGGGAGAAAGUGGGGGAUCUUCGGACCUCACGCUAUCAGAUGAGCCUGGGUCGGAUUAGCUAGUUGGUGAGGUAAAGGCUCACCAAGGCGACGAUCCGUAACUGGUCUGAGAGGAUGAUCAGUCACACUGGAACUGAGACACGGUCCAGACUCCUACGGGAGGCAGCAGUGGGGAAUAUUGGACAAUGGGCGAAAGCCUGAUCCAGCCAUGCCGCGUGUGUGAAGAAGGUCUUCGGAUUGUAAAGCACUUUAAGUUGGGAGGAAGGGCAGUAAGUUAAUACCUUGCUGUUUUGACGUUACCAACAGAAUAAGCACCGGCUAACUUCGUGCCAGCCGCCGCCGUAAAAC